rnacentral:rRNA from 1 species
UAGUAGCGGCGAGCGAAGCGGGAAGAGCCCAAUAUGAAAAGCCAGCUUGCUGGCGUUGUAGUUGAGCGUCUUUGGGGUGUCAGUUUAGGAAAGUGGCAUGAGAGUGUCUACCGGGGAGGGUGAAAGUCCCGUCCAUCCUAUUCAGGACACCUCGCACAAAGGCGUUUCAGACGAGUCGGGUAGCUUGGGAAUGCUGCUCUAAUUGGUGGUAAAUCUCAUCAAAGGCUAAAUACUGGUGGGAGACCGAUAGCGAACAAGUACCGUGAGGGAAAGAUGAAAAGUACUUUGAAAAGAGGGUAAAAAGAACCUGAAACCGUUACGGGGGAAGCGGAUUGCGUUGGCCUGGUGGCCGCUUGUGUGUUCAGCCAUUUAUGGUGCAUUGAUACAGGUGGUUAUUCGUCGUGGCUUUUUAGUGGCUGAUAAUGAGCUGCUGAAGGGUGAGGGCUCCCCUUGUUUGGGUGAGGACGACGGAGUGACGACGCGAUACGACCCGUCUUGAAACACGGACCAAGGAGUCUAGCGCAGGUGCGAGUCAAAGGGUGUUAAAACCUGUGGGCGCAGUGAAAGCGACUUUUUUUUGAAAACGAGCAGUUUGGGGCGGCAUAGAAUCGUUGAUUCUAGGUCUGACCUUGAGCAGUUGCGCUGGGACCCGAAAGAUGGUGAACUAUGCCGGAGUAGGGCGAAGCCAGAGGAAACUCUGGUGGAGGCUCGUAGCGGUGCUGACGUGCAAAUCGCUCGUCGAACUUGGGUAUAGGGGCGAAAGACUAAUCGAACCAUCUAGUAGCUGGUUUCCUCCGAAGUUUCUCUCAGGAUAGCAGGCCGACACAUUUUUUUUACGUUGUUUUGUGCGGUAAAGCGAAUGAUUAGCGUAUUCGGGGGCGUUUAGCCUUUGGACGAUUCUCAAACUUUAAAUG